AGCUCAGUUGGUAGAGCACGACCUUGCCAAGGUCGGGGUCGCGAGUUCGAAUCUCGUUUCCCGCU
rnacentral:tRNA from 1 species